AUGGCGACGGACGUGCAGAUGGGCGGCGGCGCGGCGGAGGCGGAGACCUUCGCGUUCCAGGCGGAGAUCAACCAGCUGCUCUCGCUCAUCAUCAACACCUUCUACUCCAACAAGGAGAUCUUCCUCCGCGAGCUCAUCUCCAACUCCUCAGAUGCGCUUGACAAGAUCCGGUUCGAGAGCCUCACCGACAAGAGCAAGCUGGACGCGCAGCCGGAGCUCUUCAUCCGCCUCGUCCCCGACAAGGCCACCAAGACGCUCUCCAUCAUCGACAGCGGCGUCGGCAUGACAAAGUCAGACCUUGUGAACAACCUGGGCACCAUCGCGCGCUCCGGCACCAAGGAGUUCAUGGAGGCGCUUCAGGCGGGCGCGGACGUGAGCAUGAUCGGCCAGUUCGGGGUCGGCUUCUACUCGGCCUACCUCGUCGCCGAGAAAGUGGUGGUCACCACCAAGCACAACGACGACGAGCAGUAUGUGUGGGAGUCGCAGGCGGGAGGCUCCUUCACCGUCACCCUCGACACGGAGGGCGAGCGGCUCGGCCGCGGCACCAAGAUCACGCUCUUCCUCAAGGACGACCAGCUCGAGUACCUGGAGGAGCGCCGCCUCAAGGACCUCGUCAAGAAGCACUCGGAGUUCAUCAGCUACCCCAUCUACCUCUGGACCGAGAAGACCACCGAGAAGGAGAUCAGCGACGACGAAGACGAUGAUUCUGCAGAAAAGAAGGAGGGCGAGGUCGAGGAGGUCGACGACGACUCCGAGAACAAGGACAAGAAGAAGACGAAGAAGGUGAAGGAGGUGAGCCACGAGUGGGCGCAGAUCAACAAGCAGAAGCCCAUCUGGCUGCGCAAGCCGGAGGAGAUCAGCAAGGAGGAGUACGCGUCCUUCUACAAGAGCAUCACCAACGACUGGGAGGAUCACCUCGCCGUGAAGCACUUCUCGGUGGAGGGGCAGCUGGAGUUCAAGGCGGUGCUCUUCGUGCCCCGCCGCGCGCCCUUCGACCUCUUCGACACCCGCAAGAAGAUGAACAACAUCAAGCUCUACGUGCGCCGCGUCUUCAUCAUGGACAACUGCGAGGAGCUCAUCCCGGAGUGGCUGGGCUUCGUCAAGGGCGUCGUCGACUCGGACGACCUCCCCCUCAACAUCUCCCGCGAGACGCUGCAGCAGAACAAGAUCCUCAAGGUCAUCCGCAAGAACCUCGUCAAGAAGUGCAUCGAGCUCUUCUUCGAGAUCGCAGAGAACAAGGAGGACUACGCAAAGUUCUACGAGGCCUUCUCCAAGAACCUCAAGCUGGGCGUGCAUGAGGACUCGCAGAACCGCGCCAAGCUCGCCGACCUGCUCCGCUACCACUCGACAAAGAGCGGCGACGAGCUCACCAGCCUCAAGGACUACGUCACCCGGAUGAAGGAGGGGCAGAAGGACAUCUACUACAUCACCGGCGAGAGCCGCAAGGCCGUGGAGAACUCGCCCUUCCUGGAGCGCCUCAAGAGGCGCGGCUACGAGGUGCUCUUCAUGGUGGACGCCAUCGACGAGUACGCCGUGGGGCAGCUCAAGGAGUACGACGGCAAGAAGCUGGUGUCCGCCACCAAGGAGGGCCUCAAGCUCGACGAAGAAACCGAAGAAGAAAAGAAGCGCAGGGAGGAGAAGAAGGCGGCGUUCGAGGGCCUCUGCAAGACCAUCAAGGACAUCCUCGGCGACAAGGUGGAGAAGGUCGUUGUAUCCGACCGCAUCGUGGACUCGCCGUGCUGCCUGGUGACCGGCGAGUACGGGUGGACGGCCAACAUGGAGCGGAUCAUGAAGGCGCAGGCCCUGCGGGACAGCAGCAUGGGCGCCUACAUGUCGAGCAAGAAGACGAUGGAGAUCAACCCGGAGAACGGCAUCAUGGAGGAGCUCCGCAAGCGCGCCGACGCCGACAGGAACGACAAGUCCGUCAAGGACCUGGUGAUGCUGCUGUUCGAGACGGCGCUGCUCACCUCCGGGUUCAGCCUGGACGACCCCAACACCUUCGCCGCCAGGAUCCACCGCAUGCUCAAGCUCGGGCUCAACAUCGACGAUUCCGCCGAUGGCGCGGAGGAGGAGGACGCCGACAUGGCGGCGCUGGAGGAGGAGGGUGCCGAGGAGAGCAAGAUGGAGGAGGUGGACUGA
rnacentral:rRNA from 1 species